rnacentral:rRNA from 1 species
AACGAACGCUGGCGUCAUGCCUAACACAUGCAAGUCGAACGAUGCUUUCGGGCAUAGUGGCGCACGGGUGCGUAACGCGUGGGAAUCUGCCCCUUGGUUCGGAAUAACAGUUAGAAAUGACUGCUAAUACCGGAUGACGACGUAAGUCCAAAGAUUUAUCGCCGAGGGAUGAGCCCGCGUAGGAUUAGCUAGUUGGUAUGGUAAAGGCGCACCAAGGCGACGAUCCUUAGCUGGUAUGAGAGGAGGAUCAGACACACUGGGAGUGAGACACGGCCCAAACUACUACGGGAGGCGGCAGUGGGGAAUAUUGGACAAUGGGCGAAAGCCUGAUCCAGCAAUGCCGCGUGAGUGAUGAAGGCCUUAGGGUUGUAAAGCUCUUUUACCCGGGAUGAUAAUGACAGUACCGGGAGAAUAAGCUCCGGCUAACUCCGUGCCAGCCGCCGCCGUAA